rnacentral:rRNA from 1 species
GACGAACGCUGGCGGCGUGCCUAACACAUGCAAGUCGAACGAAGCAUCUUAGAAAGCUUGCUAUCAGUGAUGGCGACCGGCGCACGGGUGAGUAACGCGUAUCCAACCUGCCUGUCACUCAGGAAUAGCCCGGUGAAAACCGGAUUAAGUCCUGAUGAUAUCAUUAGAGGGCAUCUGACGAUGAUUAAAGGUUACGGUGACGGAUGGGGAUGCGUCUGAUUAGCUUGUUGGCGGGGUAACGGCCCACCAAGGCAACGAUCGAGUAGGGGUUCUGAGAGGAAGGUCCCCCACAUUGGAACUGAGACACGGUCCAAACUCCUACGGGAGGCAGCAGUGAGGAAUAUUGGUCAAUGGACGGAAGUCUGAACCAGCCAAGUAGCGUGCAGGACGACGGCCCUAUGGGUUGUAAACUGCUUUUAUGUGGGAAUAAAGUCAGGGACGUGUCCCUGUUUGCAUGUACCACAGGAAUAAGGACCGGCUAAUUCCGUGCCAGCAGCCG